UACAGAGGCCUCAAGCGUUGUUCGGAAUUACUGGGCGUAAAGCGUGCGUAGGUGGCGGUAAAAGUCAGAUGUGAAAUCCCUGGGCCUAACCCAGGACGUGCAUUUGAUACUUUAUUGCUAGAGUGUGAGAGAGGAAGAUGGAAUUCCAGGUGUAGGGGUGAAAUCCGUAGAUAUCUGGAGGAAUACCAAUGGUGAAGACAGUCUUCUGGCUCGCUACUGACACUGAGGCACGAAAGCGUGGGGAUCAAACAGG
rnacentral:misc_RNA from 1 species